rnacentral:rRNA from 1 species
UACGAAGGGGGCUAGCGUUGUUCGGAAUUACUGGGCGUAAAGCGCACGUAGGCGGCUAUUUAAGUCAGGGGUGAAAUCCCAGAGCUCAACUCUGGAACUGCCUUUGAUACUGGGUAUCUGGAGUAUGGAAGAGGUGAGUGGAAUUCCGAGUGUAGAGGUGAAAUUCGUAGAUAUUGGGAAGAACACCGGUGGCGAAGGCGGCGCUCUGGACCGAGACUGACGCUGAGGCGCGAAAGCGUGGGGAGCAAACAGG